rnacentral:rRNA from 1 species
AAAAACUAGGACUCAUAGCUAAACUUAAUACCUCUAUUAGUGGUAGAGGAGCAUUGUAUUAGAGACGAAGCCAAGGCGAAAGCAAAAGUGGAUCUAAUACAAGAGAGAAUGCUGGCAUGAGUAGCGAGAAGGGAUGUGAGAAUCAUCCCCGUCGAAACCCUAAGGACUCCUGAGCAAGGCUCGUCCCCUCAGGGAAAGUCGGGACCUAAGCCAAGGCCGAAAGGCGUAGGCGAUGGAUAACAGGUUUAUAUUCCUGUACCGCUUGAAGUCGAUAUGAGAGAAGUGAUGACGCAAAAGGAUAAGCAAAGCCAUCAGAUGGAAAAGAUGGUCUAAAGCCGUAGGAAGAAAAGUAGGCAAAUCCGCUUUUCACAAAUUCUAAAAGCCGAUAGGUAUCGAAAACAUAAGUAGAGAAGUUGCCGAUUCCAGGUUGCCAAGAAAAGUCACUAUCCAGACCAAAGCGCCCGUACCAAAACCGACACAGGUAGGGAGGUAGAGAAUACCAAGACGCGCGGAAGAACCUUUGUUAAGGAACUCGGCAAAAUGUCCCCGUAACUUCGGGAGAAGGGGAGCCUGAGCAAUCAGGCCACAGAAACCAGGCCCAAGCGACUGUUUACCAAAAACACAAGUUUCUGCAAAAUCGCAAGAUGAAGUAUAGGAGCUGACACCUGCCCGGUGCUGGAAGGUUAAGGGGAAGUAAGGUAGCGAAAUUCCUUGUCGGGUAAGUUCCGACCCGCACGAAAGGUGUAACGAUUUGGGCACUGUCUCAACAAAGGAUCCGGUGAAAUUGUAGUAGUCGUGAAGAUGCGACUUACCCACGCUAGGACGGAAAGACCCCGUGGAGCUUUACUGUAGGCUGAUAUUGGAUUUUGAGAUUAAAUGUACAGGAUAGUUGGGAGACUGAGAUAUCUGGAUGCCAAUCUAGGAGGAGUCACUGGUGGGAUACCAACCUUUUAAUAUCAAAGUUCUAACCAUAGCCCUUGAAUCAGGGCAUGGGACAUUGUCAGUUGGGCAGUUUGACUGGGGCGGUCGCCUCCUAAAAAGUAACGGAGGCGUUCAAAGGUUCGCUCAGAAUGGACGGAAACCAUUCGAAGAGUAUAAAGGCAGAAGCGAGCUUAACUGCGAGAGCUACAACUCAAGCAGAGUCGAAAGACGGACUUAGUGAUCCGGUGGUACCGCAUGGAAGGGCCAUCGCUCAACGGAUAAAAGCUACCCCGGGGAUAACAGGCUUAUCUCCCCCAAGAGUCCACAUCGACGGGGAGGUUUGGCACCUCGAUGU